UUGCAUGCUUUUCCACGGCUUUCUUGAACUUGGCACUCAAGAGACAUGAGAGUAAAGGGCUAGGCUUUCUUUUCUAUUCCUUUCGUUCUUUGAAAUUUUCCUGUUCAAAGAAUCCAUACAUAUCAGUCUCUUUAGUACAAAGCUCAAGAAAGCCGUGGGAAAAUAUGAAAG
rnacentral:pre_miRNA from 13 species